rnacentral:rRNA from 1 species
UGGGGAAUAUUGGACAAUGGGCGCAAGCCUGAUCCAGCAAUGCCGCGUGUGUGAAGAAGGCCUUCGGGUUGUAAAGCACUUUUAUCAGGAACGAAAUACCACGGGUUAAUAACCUAGGGGGCUGACGGUACCUGAGGAAUAAGCACCGGCUAACUUCGUGCCAGCAGCCGCGGUAAUACGAAGGGUGCAAGCGUUAAUCGGAAUUACUGGGCGUAAAGGGUGCGUAGGCGGUUCGUUAAGUCUGUCGUGAAAUCCCCGGGCUCAACCUGGGAAUGGCGAUGGAUACUGGCGAGCUAGAGUGUGUCAGAGGAUGGUGGAAUUCCCGGUGUAGCGGUGAAAUGCGUAGAGAUCGGGAGGAACAUCAGUGGCGAAGGCGGCCAUCUGGGACAACACUGACGCUGAAGCACGAAAGCGUGGGGAGCAAACA